GAGAUUUAGAAUCUACCUUGGAGGGAUAAUAGCUGAGGGACAUGAUAAAGGAAUUCUGGAAGUAAAACCAGCUCCAUAAAAUGUGGUACUCAAAGAUGACACUUACGAAGGAGAGAUAAAAAUCAGACUCAAAUUCAUUACCAAUAAAGAAGUGCAUAUGGAGAAAAGGGCAUUGGUUGCUCGUGUGAAUGAACCUAGACAAUCAUUAUGCAGAUCUAUUAUCAAUCACCUGAAAUCUUCAUGGUCGGGAUUCUGUUUUUAUUGUAAUUGAUUGAUAUCCAAGAAUAAAGCCAAGGGAAAUUAGAAGGAUCAUACAUUUUAGUCACGAAUUCUGAUGAGACGGUAAACUUCAUAACGAAAUCAAUAAGUUAGAUUCUGUCCUUGAGAUUAGGUAAAGGUUUGCUUAUCACAGAAUAGUAUUUAUUGCUCAUGGGUCAUAGCCUUGCCAUGCUGAGAAUUUUAGGUCUAGUAAUGUGAGUAGACAAUAUGGGGUAUACUGUUGACAGGCACUUGGUGGCUCAGACUUGAUGAGACCAACCAGCUAAUGCAUUCUCUUCCUUUUGUACUAGUGGCUUAGAGUGAAGCUUUU
rnacentral:misc_RNA from 1 species